rnacentral:lncRNA from 1 species
UACUAUUCAUUUAUCGAAACAUGUCAUGACAUCCCUUGGAUGGGCCUUUGAAGCCCAAAACAUACAUCAGGACCAAACCUGGAUUAAAUCGAAACCAUAAGAUAUUUUUUACAAAAUCCCAAAGUUUUUUUUAUGAACUCAAUAUAACCCCUUUAUAAAUAUCUAAUCUUCCCUGCAAUUUUAAACCGAGAGCAAUCCAACACAAC